UACGUAGGCAGCGAGCGUUGUUCGGAGUUACUGGGCGUAAAGGGUGUGUAGGUGGCCUGUUAAGUUCCGUGUGAAAUCUCCCGGCUCAACCGGGAGGGUGCGCGGAAAACUGGCGGGCUAGAGUACGGGAUGGGAGAGUAGAAUUCCUGGUGUAGCGGUGAAAUGCGUAGAUAUCAGGAGGAAUACCGGUGGUGUAGACGGCUCUCUGGACCGUAACUGACACUGAGACACGAAAGCGUGGGUAGCAAACAGG
rnacentral:rRNA from 1 species